CACGGAGUUAGCCGGUGCUUAUUCGUACAGUACCUUCAGCUAUCUACACGUAGAUAGGUUUAUCCCUGUACAAAAGAAGUUUACAACCCAUAGGGCAGUCGUCCUUCACGCGGGAUGGCUGGAUCAGGCUCUCACCCAUUGUCCAAUAUUCCUCACUGCUGCCUCCCGUAGGAGUCUGGUCCGUGUCUCAGUACCAGUGUGGGGGAUCACCCUCUCAGGCCCCCUAAAGAUCAUCGACUUGGUGGGCCGUUACCCCACCAACUAUCUAAUCUUGCGCGUGCCCAUCUCUAUCCGCCGGAGCUUUCAAUAAGAAACCGAUGCCGUCUCUUAUAUUAUGGGGUAUUAAUCUUCCUUUCGAAAGGCUAUCCCCCAGAUAAAGGCAGGUUGCACACGUGUUCCGCACCCGUGCGCCGCUCUCGAGAUCCCGAAAGACCUCUACCGCUCGGCUUGCAUGUGUUAGGCCUCCCGCUAGCGUUCAUCCUGAGCCAGGAUCAAACUC
rnacentral:rRNA from 1 species